GCGGUGAUGAAGCUGCAUGAGUGAAGAGCGCUCAAAGGCAUGCACAGGUGCAUUGCCAUGCCGAGAGACUCCUCAUAUCGGGGGCCUCUCCCCCUUCCCCGUCCUGCUAUCAUACGCUCGUGGUGUUUGUGCUUGUGUCUCGGUGCAGCUGAAGUCGCCACAUCUCUCUUUCUUCGGCUGCCCGGUGCGUAGGUGGUCGCUCAUCUCUCCACGCACCCGCGCAAGUCUUCACCCUUCACGGCCUCGUGGAAAAGGCGUGCGGGUGGGGGGGGGGGGGGUAGAGAAGGAGAGCAUGCGGCACGAUGUCGACUGCAGUGUUGCUAAAAGAAGCGAUGAAACCACGACAAGGCCACACAAGCAAACAAAAAGGAAUGCCGCACACCUCCUUCUUUGUGGCCAGACGCGGACGGCUGAGCAGCGUUUUGGCUUCGCAUUUCUCAAAGAGGGCAUAAAAAGGAACAGACCGUGUGAGUAGAGGCGGAUGGCCGGCUUCGCACGCUCUUCUCCUCUUUUCAGGAGAGCAGCCGUGCUGCCGCUGUCCACC
rnacentral:misc_RNA from 1 species